rnacentral:rRNA from 1 species
GAUGAACGCUGGCGGCGUGCCUAAUACAUGCAAGUAGAACGCUGAAGGAGGAGCUUGCUCUUUCCGGAUGAGUUGCGAACGGGUGAGUAACGCGUAGGUAACCUGCCUGGUAGCGGGGGAUAACUAUUGGAAACGAUAGCUAAUACCGCAUAACAGUAGAUAUUGCAUGAUAUCUGCUUGAAAGGGGCAAUUGCUCCACUACCAGAUGGACCUGCGUUGUAUUAGCUAGUUGGUGAGGUAACGGCUCACCAAGGCGACGAUACAUAGCCGACCUGAGAGGGUGAUCGGCCACACUGGGACUGAGACACGGCCCAGACUCCUACGGGAGGCAGCAGUAGGGAAUCUUCGGCAAUGGACGGAAGUCUGACCGAGCAACGCCGCGUGAGUGAAGAAGGUUUUCGGAUCGUAAAGCUCUGUUGUAAGAGAAGAACGAGUGUGAGAGUGGAAAGUUCACACUGUGACGGUAUCUUACCAGAAAGGCGG